CAACCUACGGGGGGCAGCAGUGAGGAAUAUUGGGCAAUGGAGGCAACUCUGACCCAGCCAUGCCGCGUGAGUGAAGAAGGUUUUCGGAUUGUAAAGCUCUUUCGGAUGUGACGAUGAUGACGGUAGCAUCUAAAGAAGCUCCGGCUAACUACGUGCCAGCAGCCGCGGUAAUACGUAGGGAGCGAGCGUUAUCCGGAUUUAUUGGGUGUAAAGGGUGCGUAGAUGGAUAAACAAGUUGGUUGUGAAAUCCCUCGGCUUAACUGAGGAAUUGCAACCAAAACUGUAGAUCUUGAGUACUGGAGGGG
rnacentral:rRNA from 1 species